GGGUGGCUGCUGUUGCUGCCGUGCGGGGACAAUCCGCCGCCAUCUGACGAGGCCCCGCCGCGUCGGUGCCCCGGGGACUCGGCGGGAUGAUGUGGCUCCCUCCGUGGUGCGGGAUCUGGGCUGCCGUGGGAGCGGUGUGAGAUGCUGUUCCUGUCGUCACCGGGUGCAGGAGGCGGUGCUGGGCAGGGUUUCUCGCUGUUUGGAGCUCACUGCCUGCCUGCUGGUAGACCCAAGGAACUGCACACUUAGUGGAAGAGUCUGAGAGCUUGUGAGGCCCCGUGGAGGUUAUUGGUGUGCUUUCCUUAAGGCUGAAACUGGAGAAACUGAAGUGGAGCAGGUCAGUGUCCCUUGUUUAAACGGAAUACAGACCAAAGCAUCUUCAAUCCUGAAGGAGCAGCGUUCUGCACAGCCUCACGGUGGCUGCUGUGUGAGGUGGGAGCUCCCUCAGGUGGGAGAGCUGCAGUGGUGCAGCAGUCACUGAGUGCUGUGGGCACUCAGCCUCUGAGGGACGCUGCCAGAGCUCCCAUUCAGAUGCUCAGUGAGGAAGAAUGUUCCUUGCUACGGAGUUCUGUCGAAAGAAGAGCUUUCAAGAAGGUCUGGGUAGGAAAUAUUUGGAGUACGGUGCCGAGGUCUGGGGCUUCCAGCACAGGAGAGAUGUGCAGCAAAGCCAGAGCGAGUUGAAGGGGCAGCUGGGUGAUGGCUGCCCUCAUUGCAUCAACGUGUUGGCACACAGUGCUGAGGUUUGGGCACAGCAGAUAUGCCAAUUACUCCUACUCCUACAGUUCAUUCUCACCUCUUCAUGUCUUUAGACACGUAGCUCCAGGUAUAUGAUCUCUUGAAGUUAAGACUUUUCCGUUAUAGUAGGUAAGUAAUUUUAUUAUAAAAUAAUGAUAAAAUACAUUUAACAAAAUGCACCUGUUUUUGUGCUGCCAGUCUGUUAACCUCUGUUGUGUUUGGUUCUCUGGGAGGUAACAUGUAUGUGUCUGGAAACACAGAUUUAGCAUCUCUCAGAGGUUCUUGGGGUGCCCUACAGUUGCCAUGGAGCUCUGGGAGCAUUCUGGUGUGGCCCAGAGCACCCUGAGGCAUACAUAGACUGGAGUACACUGGAAGGCCUCUAAGGCACCCUAGAGUGCACUGAGAAGUUCUGGGAAUAUUGUAGUGUGCUUCAGAGGCAUCCUUGGAAGCCUGUAGGAUGCACUAAGAGACACAGACAAGCUUUGGGAAUUCAAUAGUGUGUCCUGGAGUGUAUUGGAUGGCCUGGGGAGGUCUCUGAGAUGCACUGAGGGGUCCUGGGAGUCCAGUAGGACAAACUGGGAAAUCAGUGAAGAACCUGGAGCGUGCUGAGGGGCUGUGAGAGGGCUGUAGGAUGUUCUGGGUUGUACCUACGGCUCCUCAGAGCACGUUCAAUAGCUGUAGGACAUGUAGGACCUGGUUAUCACACGGCAUCCCCUCCAACUCCUUCCUCUUUCGCUCUCCUGCUUCCCCUGCUUUUAAUUGGGACGAAGGGCAGAAGCUCCAUCACGUGAAUGGCGGGCUGCGCCUUUCUGCCUUCUUCAGUUUUUUGGAGUUGGAGAAUUUUUCCUUUCUCAUGAACAUGUGUAAAAAAAAUAACCGAAUUGACGAUGUGCUUCGUGCAGCCGGUCCCCAUAGCGCUGAGCUGUGCUGGAAAACACGGAAGCAGAAUCUUUUCGUUUUAGCCGCUCUGCGCCGCCAAUCUCUAUGGUGAUUAGUCCUCCAGGAAGUAAUGCGCAUGCGUCCGAAGACAAGAAGGGGGAGGGGGAGGGAAUUUUUACACAGCACUGAGGCGCGGGCCAUCAGUCCCCUCACGGGCCGUCAGCCCUCAGCCCCAGCUCUUCACAUCUCCGCUUCCUUGUUAGAAGGCUCGAGCCAACCCCGCUAAAUGGCCGCUUUCACCCCCACUGCCCCUGCGCGCGCCGCGGCACGUGAUUGGGUCAUCGCCUCCUUUGAUUGACAAGUGCCCAUCCCAGCACCGCGCAUGCGCACUAUCGCCGCGGCACUCCCUGCUGCCGUCUAUUGAACAAAAUCCGGUACUGCAGGCGCUGCUCUGCGCAGGCGCGGUGGUGCCGAGGCUCUCGCGCUGCGCACGGACGGCAGAACCGCGCAGCCGGUACGUUGGGAGGUGUGGGAGCGGCGGGACCGCGCAGAAAAGACACGAAACGGGCCGAAAAUGUACGUCGGGGCACUGCUAUGGGGGAAGAACACUGCUUCGGUGUGUGCCUCCGCUUACCUGUAUGCAGCGCAGCAACGGAAAGCCCCGUUUCCCUCAGUGCCCCGGAACCUGGCGGUGCCGCCGGGCUGCACGGGUCGGUACGGGCGGCGCUCACUCGUGCAUCGGCGCGUGUCGGCAGCGCAAGGCUCUCGGAGCGCCGUACGGUGCCCCGCAGCCGCCCUGGGAGCCGCCUGGUGCAGCACAGGGGUGUGCCUGCCCUGCAGCACGGGGCGCUGGAAAUCCUGUGGGCAGCCCCAGGGAGUGUUACGGGGUGCUGCAGGGGCACCGAGGCAGCCUUGGAAACUUGACUAGGACACUGGGAAGGCUGUGGGGCACGCUGAGAGACCAGAGAACCCCGACGAACCUGAGCGCACUUCAACAAAACGAAUGGAAAAGCAGCGAACCCGCACGGACUUCAGCGACAAAGAGUGAAACCCGAGCAGACUGCAGCAAACCCCUCCUUUUGUUGUAUUUGUUAUUACUGCUGCUUGGUGAUAAAGCCUCCCUUUGCCGACUUUGUAAUUCCCACAAAGACGUAUCCUUCCAUCACUGCACAGCAACGACACCACAAAACCUGUCCUUUUUUUCCCCCUACCUUUGAGAAUACGUUGUUGAAUACUGGAGAGAGGAUGCACAGAUCCAUCAGUCUGCUUUGUGUGCAGGACAGGGCACGGAGAUGCAGUGCUCCUCUCUCAGGUCCCUCCUCCUCUUAUGGACCAAAACCUCAGAACCUGGAGCGACAGUCUGAAAUCACAGAGCUGAAGAUGUGUGUGUAUUCAUCCAAACCCUUUGUAACAUCACUCAGUGCUGUGCCUGUGUCUUACCCUCCGAACCCUGUGCUGUGUAUACUGUAAAGCAAAUGGCUUCAGACUGGUGUAGCAAAGCAUCCAUUGACUUCACCGCUGAGAAAACAUGACUGAUCUUUAAGAGGCAGCUGCUAAUUGAUGACAAUUAGGUGGCACAAUUCGGUGCUGAUGUGUAAUGAAAUCAUUCCUCUUUUUCCUUCUGCAGCCGAAUCAAGAUGACGACGGCAGCCCCGCUGAUCGGCAUUACGCAGCUCUCGGUGAAUGUGACCACAAGGUCUCAAGAACUGAGUCUCUAUCAAAGUUCUGGAGCAAUAGUUGCUGCCAUUGUAGUAGGAGUAAUUAUUAUUUUUACAGUGGUUCUGCUCAUACUGAAGGCGUAUAACAGACACAUGAGAGGGAAGCGGGAGCUGGAGCCCAAAAGCAGCAAAACAGCAAUGCCUCCUUUAGGGCAGAACAGCAGCAGCAUUACUCAGCAUUGCACAGUGACUUCCAUACCUAUCCACAUGCAGAGCAGAUAACUGUGAACGCAUCCCUCCCUUUGGAGUUCUUACCACGUGGAGAUGGGACUGCUCUCAACGGUGGUACUGCAUUUGGAAUGGUGAUCAGCUCUUAGUUUGUUCUCUGUAUCGUCAUUUGUCCUGCUUUUUCUCUCUGGGAGGAAAACUGGAAGAUCUGAACAUUUUCCGUGUUUUGAGAAUCAAGAGGUGAAGAGGUACAAAGCAUCCGAAAUGCGAGGGGCCCUCCUUCAGAGCUUUGGGUGUGGGAAGAUCAAAGAAGCCAAGCUAUUCAUUUGGAGAAGCCACGCACACUGAUUUUGUAGAGCUUUUGCUUACUCAGAGUUUAAGCUUUUUCUAUGCUGAUAUGACUGAUGAUAAAUGGAAGGAAGAAUUGGACAUGCAGGCUGCAUGCAACUCAGGUUGUGCUUUGUUAAGGUUUGGGUGGAACAGGUUUGUAGUUUGUUCUACACAGCAGAUAGUGUGGGAAGUAGGAAAACCAUAUUUAUCUUUAGUCAUCUUUCAUGUUUCUAAUACCACGUUUGUAUGGUUGUAGACAGAAAAGAAUGACUUUUUAUCAAGUA